UUAAUGCGCACGAAGAAACAGUUUACAAAUUUUCUUGGUCGUACACCGUUGGUUUACUGAACUAGAACGGAAAGUAAAUCUACUUGAGGCCAAGUUCUGGAAAUAUUGUCAUAGCGUGUGUUUGUGUGUGUCCAAGACCACAUUAAAGUAUCAUUUAUUAUGAUAACAUUCGUGAAGCAAGUUCUGUUGGCGCUGGCACUGGUGCAGCAUUUUAUCACACAAGCUGGCGCAUUACCAUACGAGGCCCGACUGACUUUGACGAUUGUUUUGGGUUUGGGAUCUCCCGUUACUUUCUUCCUAAUUGUCGUUGUGGCCAUCAUAUGCUUGAAAAAGUGCUACACCUGUGUACGUGCGCAUUGCAAAGCCAGACCUACUCCAGGGGAGCCUAUCACAAACCUGCCUCUGCCAAAUUCGU